AGAGUUUGAUCCUGGCUCAGAGCGAACGCUAGCGGCGGGCCUAACACAUGCAAGUCGAGCGUGUCACUUCGGUGGCAAGCGGCGGACGGGUGAGUAACACGUAGGUAAUCUACCCUCAGGUGGGGAAUAACCCAGGGAAACCUGGGCUAAUACCGCAUGCGGCCUUCGGGUCAAAGCCUUCGGGCGCCUUUGGAUGAGCCUGCGUCGCAUUACCUAGUUGGCGGGGUAAAAGCCCACCAAGGGGACGAUGCGUAGCUGGUCUGAGAGGAUGAUCAGCCACACUGGGACUGAGACACGGCCCAGACUUCUACGGAAGGCAGCAGUGGGGAAUAUUGCGCAAUGGGCGAAAGCCUGACGCAGCCACGCCGCGUGGGUGAUGAAGGCCUUCGGGUUGUAAAGCCCUGUCGGGAGGGACGAAGUUCUGACGGUACCUCCCAAGAAAGCACCGGCUAACCCCGUGCCAGCCGCCGCGGUAAUAC
rnacentral:rRNA from 1 species